GGCGUCGGUAGCUCAAUUGGCAAGAGCACCCGGUUGUGAUCCGGGAGGUCACGGGUUCGAUCCCCGUCCUUCGCCC
rnacentral:tRNA from 6 species